rnacentral:sRNA from 1 species
UGGGUGGAAACGAACAUGAGAAGGGUGAGUCGAUCAAUGAAGCUGAAGAUGACAAGGGAAAUGAGACGGUCACUCUUGAUUUGGGGCGUUCUCUGUUUCGAUCAGAUUCCGUAACAGAUACGAGACUGAAGCUCAGCGCUUUGGUCAAAGCUUUGGAGGAGAGUAUUCCAAGGC